UACGGAGGAUGCGAGCGUUAUCCGGAUUUAUUGGGUUUAAAGGGUGCGUAGGCGGGUUAUCAAGUCAGCGGUCAAAGCCCGGGGCUCAACCCCGGCCCGCCGUUGAAACUGGCAGUCUCGAGUUGGAGAGAAGUAUGCGGAAUGCGCGGUGUAGCGGUGAAAUGCAUAGAUAUCGCGCAGAACUCCGAUUGCGAAGGCAUCUGACGAAUCGGAGAUUGACGCUGAUGCACGAAAGCGUGGGUAUCGAACAGG
rnacentral:rRNA from 1 species